GACGAACCGAGCGAACGUUGUUCGGAAUCACUGGGCUUAAAGGGCGCGUAGGCGGGCUAUCGAGUCCGGGGUGAAAUCCUCCAGCUUAACUGGAGAACUGCCUCGGAUACUGAUGGUCUCGAGGGAGAUAGGGGCAAGCGGAACUGUGGGUGGAGCGGUGAAAUGCGUUGAUAUCCAUAGGAACUCCGGUGGCGAAGGCGGCUUGCUGGAUCUCUUCGUGACGCUGAGGCGCGAAAGCCAGGGGAGCGAACGGG
rnacentral:rRNA from 1 species